rnacentral:tRNA from 1 species
UGUUCUGUGGCUUAGUUGGUUAAAGCGCCGGUCUAGCGACGGAAUCGUGGGUUCGAAUCCCAUCAGAACGU